AGUGAGAGAUCCGCUAAAACUGUAUCCUGCUAAUAUAAAUUAAGCAGGUCGACUGAGCCUGAUAAGGUAGGUCAAAUAUGAUGUCUCCUUGUUGGAAAUUGAAUACCAUAUCGGUAGAUCGAUAAUCAUCCGAUAUGGAUUAAUGUGGACUUUGGUAAACUUUCAGACUAGCUGAUGUGAUAUGACAAUGUUUCACCUAU
rnacentral:lncRNA from 1 species